GACGAACGCUGGCGGCGUGCUUAACACAUGCAAGUCGAACGGAAAGGCCCUGCUUUUGUGGGGUGCUCGAGUGGCGAACGGGUGAGUAACACGUGAGUAACCUGCCCUUGACUUUGGGAUAACUUCAGGAAACUGGGGCUAAUACCGGAUAGGAGCUCCUGCUGCAUGGUGGGGGUUGGAAAGUUUCGGCGGUUGGGGAUGGACUCGCGGCUUAUCAGCUUGUUGGUGGGGUAGUGGCUUACCAAGGCUUUGACGGGUAGCCGGCCUGAGAGGGUGACCGGCCACAUUGGGACUGAGAUACGGCCCAGACUCCUACGGGAGGCAGCAGUGGGGAAUGUUGCACAAUGGGCGGAAGCCUGAUGCAGCAACGCCGCGUGCGGGAUGACGGCCUUCGGGUUGUAAUCCGCUUUCGCCUGUGACGAAGCGUGAGUGACGGUAAUGGGUAAAGAAGCACCGGCUAACUACGUG
rnacentral:rRNA from 1 species